CCGUUAUGCACGGUAAGUUCGAAUUCUUUGUAAGGAAUUAUAAAUUAUUAAUUUUACCUAUUUUUUCCGUUAUGCAUGCUAGCAUUGGAAGCAUCAGAACAAUCAGACUGCUGGCAAAGUUCAUCACAGCAAGCAAAUAAUAAAGUCCAUCGUAUGAUCCUAGAUUCUCCCUAAAAUAUCCUGAAAAAUGUAAAAAGAUUCAUGCAUUAUCAAUGUGAUUUAUGCAAUGUUUUGAACAUUUGUGACUAAUUAUGUUGUGUGACUAAAUAAUAUGCGGUUAGCUAUAAGGAGAAAUAUGGCCAAAUCUACUUCGGAACAAAUAUGACAAAUGCAGAUUUGAAAAUUUUUUUAAAAUAAAAGUUAAAAUGACAAUUUUAAA